AUACUGGCCAGAGACCGAUAGCGCACAAGUAGAGUGAUCGAAAGAUGAAAAGCACUUUGGAAAGAGAGUCAAAUAGCACGUGAAAUUGUUGAAAGGGAAGCGCUUGCAGCCAGACUUGCCUGUAGUUGCUCAUCCGGGCUUUUGCCCGGUGCACUCUUCUACAGGCAGGCCAGCAUCAGUUUGGGCGGUUGGAUAAAGGUCUCUAUCACGUACCUCUCUUCGGGGAGGCCUUAUAGGGGAGACGUCAUGCAACCAGCCUGGACUGAGGUCCGCGCAUUUGCUAGGAUGCUGGCGUAAUGGCUGUAAGCGGCCCGUCUUGAAACACGGACCAAGGAGUCUAACAUCUAUGCGAGUGUUUGGGUGUCAAGCCCGAGCGCGUAAUGAAAGUGAACGGAGGUGGGAACCCUUUGGGUGCACCAUC
rnacentral:rRNA from 1 species